CGUAUUGUCAACUAAGGUGGCCUCACCUGCCAAUCUGUCGGCUUUUUCAUUUCCCCUAACACCUGCAUGGCCAGGGCAGAAAAUCCAUGUGAGCGAUCGAAAAUAAUAUUUGCCUCCAAACGCAGACACGCUGUUCGCUCGGCCAUCAGAACUUUCAAACUGCAAUCCCAACCAGUUAAUAAAAUAAGCAUGUUUGAACAUGUGUAUACCAAAAUCUGUGGUAUUGCGUUUAAAUGCUUUGCUGCUGCCCUAAGAAGAUUCGAGUUUAAUUCCUGUUUGGGGAGAAUCUCCAUCGAGUAUUCGAUCUCUCUGGUGGGACAUAAAAUCACUCUGAGGCCGGGUUAACUCUGACAGGCAAGGUCGACGUGCGCCUCUCAGAUGAGCUCAAUUGUGUCGAGGGGGGUGUAAAAACAUCAACAACAAAAC